rnacentral:rRNA from 1 species
GUUGUAUGGUUAAGUGACUAAGCGUACAUGGUGGAUGCCUUGGCAGUCAGAGGCGAUGAAGGACGUACUAACCUGCGAUAAGCUGUGAGAAGUCGGUAAGAGACGCUAUUACUCACAGAUUUCCGAAUGGGGAAACCCACCCAAGAUAACUUGGGUAUCGUUACAUGAAUACAUAGUGUAACGAGGCGAACCGGGAGAACUGAAACAUCUAAGUACCCCGAGGAAAAGAAAUCAACCGAGAUUCCCUCAGUAGCGGCGAGCGAACGGGGAUUAGCCCUUAAGUUUCUUGGAAGUUAGUGGAAUGGUCCUGGAAAGGCCAGCGAUACAGGGUGAUAGCCCCGUACAUGAAAACGACCUUGAAGUGAAAUCGAGUAGGGCGGGACACGUGACAUCCUGUCUGAAUAUGGGGGGACCAUCCUCCAAGGCUAAAUACUCCUGACUGACCGAUAGUGAACCAGUACCGUGAGGGAAAGGCGAAAAGAACCCCUGUGAGGGGAGUGAAAUAGAACCUGAAACCGUGUACGUACAAGCAGUGGGAGCCCUUCGGGGUGACUGCGUACCUUUUGUAUAAUGGGUCAGCGACUUACAUUUUGUAGCGAGGUUAACCGUAUAGGGGAGCCGUAGGGAAACCGAGUCUUAACUGGGCGUCUAGUUGCAAGGUGUAGACCCGAAACCGGGUGAUCUAGCCAUGGGCAGGUUGAAGGUUGAGUAACAUCAACUGGAGGACCGAACCCACUAACGUUGCAAAGUUAGGGGAUGACCUGUGGCUGGGGGUGAAAGGCCAAUCAAACUCGGAGAUAGCUGGUUCUCCCCGAAAGCUAUUUAGGUAGCGCCUCGGACGAAUACUACUGGGGGUAGAGCACUGUUUGGACUAGGGGGUCAUCCCGACUUACCAACUCCAUGCAAACUCCGAAUACCAGUAAGUAAUAUCCGGGAGACACACGGCGGGUGCUAACGUCCGUCGUGAAGAGGGAAACAACCCAGACCGCCGGCUAAGGUCCCAAAGUUCUGGUUAAGUGGGAAACGAUGUGGGAAGGCUCAGACAGCUAGG